UUAAACUAAUAAGGGCGUAUAGUGGAUUGCUUGGCAUUAGAAGCUGAAGAAGGACGUGACUAACUACGAUAUGCCUCGGGGAGCUGUAAGUAAGCUUUGAUCCGGGGAUUUCCGAAUGUGGCAACACGCUAGUGGUAAUGCGCUAGCAUCUAACAGUGAAUACAUAGCUGUUACGAGAGUAACCUUGGGAACUGAAACAUCUUAGUACCAGGAGGAAAAGAAAGAAAAAUCGAUUUCCCUAGUAGUGGCGAGCGAAAAGGAAAGAGCCCAAACCUAUCUUUGGAUAGGGGUUGUAGGACCUUAUACACGGAGUUACAAAACCAUAAUAUAGCUGAAUUAGCUGGAAAGCUAAACAAUAUAAGGUGAUAGUCCUGUAAGCGAAAUGUUAUGGACUCUUUAGGGUAUCCUGAGUACGGCGGGGCACGUGAAACCUUGUCGGAAUCAGCGGGGACCAUCCCGCAAGGCUAAAUACUCUCUAAUGACCGAUAGCGAACAAGUACCGUGAGGGAAAGCUGAAAAGAACCCCGGGAGGGGAGUGAAAUAGAUAAUGAAACUAUAUGCUUACAAAAAGUCAAAGCCCGUUAAUGGGUGAUGGCGUGCCUUUUGCAGAAUGAACCGGCGAGUUAUUGUAUUAUGCAAGGUUAAGUGGAAAACACGGAGCCGAAGCGAAAGCGAGUCUUAAUAGGGCGACUUAGUAUGAUGCAAUAGACCCGAAACCAAGUGAUCUAGCCAUGAGCAGGUUGAAGGUGAGGUAAUACUCACUGAAGGACCGAACUGGUGUACCCGGAAACGUGCUCAGAUGACUUGUGGCUAGCGGAGAAAUUCCAAACGAACUUGGAUAUAGCUGGUUCUCCCCGAAAUAGGUUUAGGCCUAGCGUUAUGAUUAAGCUUGCUGGAGGUAGAGCACUGAAUGGAUGAGGGCGGCAUCUCGCUGUACCAAUUUCAAUCAAACUCCGAAUGCCAGUGUAGUAUUCAUAGCAGUCAGUGUAUGGGUGAUAACGUCCAUACGCGAGAGGAAAAUAAUCCAGAUCACCAGUUAAGGUCCCAAAAUUUAUGCUAAGUGGGAAAGGAUGUGGAGUUGUCAAAACAGCUAGGAGGUUGGCUUAGAAGCAGCCAUCCUUUAAAGAGUGCGUAAUAGCUCACUAGUCGAGUGACACUGCGCCGAAGAUGUACCGGGGCUAAGCAUAAUACCGAAACUGUGAAUUUAUAUUUAUAUAAAUGGUAGGGGAGCGUUCCAAGGGCGACGAAGGUAGACCGUGAGGACUGCUGGAGCGCUUGGAAGUGAGAAUGCCGGUGUGAGUAGCGCAAGCUGGGUGAGAAUCCCAGCCACCGAUUGUCUAAGGUUUUCUGGGGAAGGUUCGUCCUCCCAGAGUAAGUCGGGACCUAAGGCGAGGCUGAAAAGCGUAGUCGAUGGACAACAGGUUGAUAUUCCUGUACCACCUAUGUAACUGAUGGAGUGACGGAGAAGGCUAACAAGAGCCAGUUAUUGGAUUCUGGUCUAAGCAUAAAGGCUUGUGAGUAGGUAAAUCCGCUACACUAUAAGGCUGAAAUGUUAUGGUGACGAGAACUUCGGUUCUUUAAAUCUUGUGACGCCACGCUUCCAAGAAAAGCUUCUAGGGCUAAUUACAUAGGUGCCCGUACCCAGAACCGCCACAGGUGGACAAGAAGAGUAUUCUAAGGUGAGCGAGAGAACUAUGGCUAAGGAACUCGGCAAAAUGACCCCGUAACUUCGGGAGAAGGGGAGGUCUAUUUUAUAGACCCGCAGUGAAUAGUCCCAGGCAACUGUUUACCAAAAACACAGCUCUCUGCUAAACCGCAAGGUGACGUAUAGGGGGUGACACCUGCCCAGUGCUGGAAGGUUAAGAGGAAGGGUUAGUAUGGCGUAAGCUAUGAUACGAAGCUCUGAAUUGAAGCCCCAGUGAACGGCGGCCGUAACUAUAACGGUCCUAAGGUAGCGAAAUUCCUUGUCGGGUAAAUUCCGACCCGCACGAAAGGUGUAAUGAUCUGGGAACUGUCUCGGCCAUAGACUCGGUGAAAUCUUAAUACCUGUGAAAAUGCAGGUUACCCGCAACAGGACGGAAAGACCCCGUGGAGCUUUACUGUAGCUUGAUAUUGAGCUUCGGUAUGUUAUGUAGAGGAUAGGUGGGAGACGUUGAUACUAUGGCGCUAGCCAUAGAGGAGUCAUCCUUGGAAUACCACCCUUAACAUAUUGGAGUUCUAACCUCGACCCAUUAUCUGGGCCAGGGACAGUGUCUGGUGGGCAGUUUGACUGGGGCGGUCGCCUCCCAAAAAGUAACGGAGGCGCCCAAUGGUUCCCUCAGAAUGGUUGGAAAUCAUUCAAAGAGCGUAAAGGUAUAAGGGAGCUUAACUGCGAGACCCACAAGUCGAGCAGAUACGAAAGUAGGGCUUAGUGAUCAGGCGAUUCAGUAUGGAAUGGUCGUCGCUUAACGGAUAAAAGUUACCCCGGGGAUAACAGGCUGAUACCACCCAAUAGUUCACAUAGACGGUGGUGUUUGGCACCUCGAUGUCGGCUCGUCACAUCCUGGAGGUGAAGUCGCUUCCAAGGGUUGGGCUGUUCGCCCAUUAAAGUGGCACGCGAGCUGGGUUCAGAACGUCGUGAGACAGUUCGGUCCCUAUCCGUUGUGGGCGUUGGAAAAUUGAGAAGAUCUGUCCUUAGUACGAGAGGACCGGGAUGGACUUACCUCUGGUGUAUCUGUUGUAGCGCCAGCUGCAGUGCAGAGUAGCUAUGUAGGGAAUGGAUAACCGCUGAAGGCAUCUAAGUGGGAAGCCAACUUCAAGAUGAAUUUUCCUGUUUUUUAAAAACUAAGAUUCCAGAAAGACUAUCUGGUUGAUAGGCUAGAGGUGGAAGCGUAGUGAUACGUUGAGCUGACUAGUACUAAUAAAUCGAGAGUU
rnacentral:rRNA from 1 species